AAAAACAAUUACGAAACUGGAAUUACCACUGAAAUUUAAUGACACACACCUGUAUGUGGGCACUGUCCCUUUUCCUUUUGUUUUCUCACAAGGUUAUAAAUAUUGUAUUGGCUUAGACAAUAAAUGAAAGCUUAUGUUAAGCUUCUCAACACCUGAAAAUCUAAAACUGGGAUGGCAAACAUAGUGUCCUCCAGCUGUUCUUUGUCUACAAUUUUCUGAAGGUGCUCCAAGGAAUCCAAUGAGGCAUUUUGUGAAGUAGGGUGCCUGCUCAAGGGUGCCAUGUGAUCUUCAUUGGCUUACAAUGACCACUUCCUUAAAGCUACAAGGGAUAAACUGUAAAUUCUGAAGAGAAUUUUGUACUUAUGUGAAUCAAAUACUUUAAGGUUGAAUUUGUAUUGUAUAUAUUAUUUUGCAAGAAAUAAAGCAUAUACAUGAAUACAAA